GUUUGCUGGCUUCCAAAGCCAACCUUUGGUAAGCAUAUUAGAUCAAGAGGAGUUUGGAUUUGCACUCUUUGUGAUGGUGAGAGGGCAUACAUAUUGCAUUUUCAAGGUCGCUUAAACAAGUGUUGAAUUGAGUUAUAUUGACCAUGACUAAUUUGUGUAACACGUUAGCCUUGUUAUGAACAACUUGAUUUUAAGGUUGUUGGAGGUGAUGAAUUUUUUAUGUCUUUGAAGGUUUUUAAUGUGUCAUUGUACUUCCAUUAAUUAGGUAAUUAGGUUCUUUAUUUAGUGUUGACAAUUUGCAUUGGUUAUUUAAUCUUAGAUCCAUUGCUAUAAAGUAAAGACAAUUUGGUUUUAUUUUUUCUUAAGAGUCAAAAUUUAAUGUAGUAGUGAACAAGGUUGUAAACUAUAGUUAGAAUAUUCUUGAUUUUGAAACCA
rnacentral:lncRNA from 1 species